GCGGAUGUGGUGAAAUUGGCAGACACACAGGACUUAGGAUCCUGUGGGCGUAAAAGCCCGUGAGGGUUCGAGUCCCUCCAUCCGCA
rnacentral:tRNA from 6 species